CCGGUUUACGAUGUUAAUUCAGUUCACAAACAAUGAGAAGUAGAUGAGUUGUGUUAACUCUUACAUGCCUUGGAAAAGAUAAGUCUGCAGUUGGAGAGUGGCCGUGCGCAACCCGAGGGUCCCUGGUUCAAUCCCCACCUAGUACCAACCUCGUCACGUCCGUUGUGUCCUUGAGCAAGACACUUCGCCCUUGCUCCUGAUGGUGCUGGUUGGCGCCUUGCAUGGCAGCUCCCUCCAUCAGUGUGUGAAUGUGUGUGUGAAUGGGUAAAUGUGGAAGUAGUGUCAAAGCGCUUUGAGUACCUUGAAGGUAGAAAAGCGCUAUACAAGUACAACCCAUUUAUUUUUUAUUUAUAACCUUGAUGGAGGUACCGAACCCCGCCAGUUUGAUAUGUGCAUUCACCGAACCCUUCUUUAGUAAAAAAAAAAAAAAAAUGUUUUUUUUCUUAAUUCAAUCUUGAUUUAUGAAUAUUGAUCAUGAAAUGAUGUUACUAUAUUAAAGACAUACUAAUAAAGGUAUAUUUAACGAACAGAAAGUUA